rnacentral:rRNA from 1 species
UACGGAGGGGGCUAGCGUUGUUCGGAAUUACUGGGCGUAAAGCGCACGUAGGCGGCUUUGUAAGUUAGAGGUGAAAGCCCGGAGCUCAACUUCGGAAUUGCCUUUAAGACUCCAUCGCUUGAAUCAUGGAGAGGUCAGUGGAAUUCCGAGUGUAGAGGUGAAAUUCGUAGAUAUUCGGAAGAACACCAGUGGCGAAGGCGACUGACUGGACAUGUAUUGACGCUGAGGUGCGAAAGCGUGGGGAGCAAACAGG